GAGAGGAGUUCACAUCAGUUCCUCAUCAACAUCCACCAUGUUCUCUGCAGCUGUGAUGCUGCUGCUGGCAGCUGGAUCCUGUGUGAGGUGUAUUGACCUCAUCCAGCCAAACUCAGUGGUUGUGCAGGGUGGACAGUCUUUGACCUUCACCUGUCAGGUCUCUGGUUAUUCUCUGACUGAUGACAGCUAUGCGACAGGUUGGAUAAGACAUCGUGAAGGAAAACCAAUGGACUGGAUUUUUUAUCAGUGGGGUAGAGGUACCAUCCGUAAAAAUAGUGCUCUAGAGAACAAGUUCAGCUUCAGCAGAGACACUUCGGCAAGAACAAUACAAGGACAGAAUCUGGAGCCUGAGGACACAGCUGUUUAUUACUGUGUCCGUUAUCUCACAGUGACACAAAAUACCAACAGACUUGUACAAAAACUCUGA